ACACGUUGCGCCGUGUAUAAAUAGCCAGUUAGGGCGCAAGCGUCCCGGCAUUUUGCCGGGGGUCUGG
rnacentral:ribozyme from 21 species